rnacentral:tRNA from 1 species
UCAUUGGUGGCUCAGUGGUAGAAUUCUCACCUUCCAUGUGGGAGACCCUGGCUUCAAUUCCCAGCCUGUGCA